UCACAGAAGAUCAAAUAUGUACCACAAUCCGAGGGCUCAGAAACUGAAAUUCCCUGCUCAAAGGAUGACAAGCCUGCUUUUAGGGAUGGUUCCUGUGCUUUCCAGAAGCUCCUAAAACCCGGAAGUAAAAGAAGAGUGGAUAACAUGUACUGAGUGCUUUCAUGUGCACACAAAAGAGGCCAUAUUCCUGGAAGUGGAGAGCUAAUGCCAGUCUUAGCUGGGACCAUUAUUGGGAGUCUCAUUUCAUCUGCAAAAAGGGACAACGAUAGCCUUAAUUUAUAAGUUGUGAGGGCUGAGUUAAUAUAUGUAAAGCUCUUAAAAACAGACUUGGCAUGUAUUAAUUAAUAUUGUUAUUGUUGUUACUGUCAU